UUCGUCCGACAAUGCAACUUUUUUGUCCAUUCUCUAGUUUUUUUUCAAUUCAUUCUCUAGUUUUUAACAAUGUAUUACGUAACUUUGUGUUUUUGAUUAAAAAUGUAUUACGUAACUUUUGAAACAACAAAAACAAACUUUUGUUUUGUAUGAUUAAGUCCUAUAUAUACGCAUAUAUAUAUAACUAUUACCAAAAAAAACUUUUAUGUAAGUUGAAAUUAUUUGAGAAAUCCAAUUAUUUUUUAUAUGUAUUCAAAAGUUCUACUAGAAAUGCUAUGAUCUCAGAUUGCCACUUUAAUUUAUUUAAGAUUGCAGUGGUGGUUAGGAUUAGAUGAUUUCUUGCCAUUCGUAGAAUUAUUUGUCCUGAAAACUCUCUCAAGGAAAGAAAUCUUUAAUUGAAAACUAAUUUGGAUCAAAAUGCUUGAAUUGAACCGCAAACGAAGCCGGUUUAAUUUGAUGUACCGGUUCAUCUGCCCGACUAAGCAAACACAUUGAACCGAUGAGUUGUUGAACAAAAAAGCUCCAGAUCCAUUGACUAAUCAAAUCAUUAUAGGUUGCCAAUGGCUCGAAACACUCGCGAUCUAGGUCCCGUCUCACCGCCGACAUUAAUCUCGCUCACCGCUCACUCACAGCCAUCGUACUAGGGAGACCGCAGCCGAUAACCAUAUUCAUCAAGUUAUCAAAUGGAAACAGUUAGCGUUCCAAGUUGCACUUAAGAAUCAAAGCCUAAUCUCUUCUUGGGUUUAUAAUUUUCACUGUUUUUCAGAUUUUGAUUUAGAUUACACUUAUUUUGGGCUUAUUCCUCCCGUAAACUUAUCUUGGACUUUAGGUGCGUAAAAAGGCUUUAAUUUGUGUUCAAUGAUUUUGACAGCCUUUGCAUGAGCCAUCAGCUUUUUCCCUUACGUAGUAGCAUCAUCUCAUGAAAGCCUUGACAGAGAAAACGUAUAUACAUGUGUACAAAUUACAAAACCAUUCUUUUAAUUUUUGAUAUUAACCAAUUAAAAUCUUUAAAACGGAUAGAGGUACAUAUAACAUGCGACUUAUUUCCAACCUUAGAACAUCCCCAUUGUAUUGCAUGUAUCUAUAUUUUUCUCUAAAAUAGAAAUCUCUAUUAUAGUGGUAGACCUCUAUAAUAGAAUUCUUUUAUUUUAGAAAAAAAUAUAAAUAAAAUUAUUUUUUAUUUUAUAUUUAGAGGUGAAAAUAAUAUAUUUCUAUAUUUUUCUCUGUAAAUAGAAAAAUUCUAUUAUAGAGGCAUAUAUUGGAGUAAAUCCACGUCUAUAUAAUAGAAUUUCUCUAUUUUAGAAAAAAAUAUAAACAUGAAAGUAGAGAUGGGUUGGAAAUACUUUUACACUAUAUAAAAGAAAAAAAAUCGGUUUUACACAAAUUUUAAUAAUCAAAAACAGAUUUUGUUGUUGGUUAAGUAGUAAGAAAACGGAAAAAAUAUUAAAUUUUGAGAUUGUAUAUAUAUGUGUAAACUGAUAUGUUUUAAUCGAUUAGAAAAACUGUCUUCCGUUUAGUAUGAAUACCAGUGAGAAAGAAAAAGAACAAAGCAGUAAAGAUGCACGUAGAUGACUGACAAUAUAUUGAAAUCAAUCCAUGCACAUAAUAAUAAGAGUGCAUGUGCAUGCGAAGAUCAUUAUUGUAUCUGGGGAAGUUCCACUCUAUGGAAUCAUCGCAAAGCAGCCGCAAUGUUUGAAUUUAUUGAAGCCGAAAGCAUGCUUAAAGUCUUCGUGUGUCAUAGAUACCCGAAGACUGUUGAAAAUAGCUAUAGAUCGAUAAAGAUAUAUAGAUCCGGAACUUCAUCAUAUCCCUUUCAACUUCUCUCGUGUUAUCAUUUUAUGGAUGAUUAUAACUGGGUCAUAGGAUCUCGAAGAUAGCCCUCUCAAAAUAACACCACUUGACGUAACCAAGUGGGAUGGGACCCAUUUCCUUCUGCCUUUCCGCAUGCGUAACUCUCAAGAAGCUCUUCACUUAUCGUUCUACAUCAUCGCAUCUAAUCUCAAUAUCUCAUACAUCAAUUAUCUAGGAGUAAGAUACCGGGAAUAUAUCUAUGUAUUUACUCAAUUUAUAAAAGUUUCACUUUUUUUGUAUAUCCAGUACCUUUCAGAUGAACAUGUGUGGAUAUUAUAAUGUAAGUGUUAUGGUGUAUUAAUAUAUUUGAUUAAAUGAAUAGUAUAACUGGUGAGGAAUGUAUGCUGAAAAGUGCUGAGACGAUCAGAAGAAAGACCAAUCAAAUACAAUAAUGAGAGUUGCACGGUGUUCAAACUACUAUCUUUGGUGGGCCAAGCUCGAUGUACAUCUCGAGACCAAGUUUGCUUGUCUUACUCUCACAUGUGCCAAUAAUCCAAAUAAACGUCAUUUCGUGAAAAGAGUAUAAAUGAUAAAAAAUUAAAACUAGUGGGACGACUCACAUAUAGAUGCAUGUAUUUACAUAAAUGCGUUCUAAAGAAGACACAUGAAUAUGUGGAAAGAUAAGUCUCACUAUAUUCUACACACUUUUUGGUUUUGGGAAUAUAUUCACAGUUGAACACGUUUUUUGUUUUUUAAAUGAUUAGCGAUUGCGAUAUUCCUACUGUGAUCGUUUGUGAUUGUUUAAUCACACUUAAACAAGAAAAAAAAUGUUUGACCCUAUUUACUCAAUGCUUACCUAUCUUUUUUUCUUAUAAGACUCUUUAGAAUGAAUGAAUCAAAUUCUCGAAUAGUUUCCACGCUUUUUUUUGUCAUCUAUCCAUCUAAUCUAGAUCAAGUGGAGAACAUACAAACUGAUUCUCCUAAGAACAUUUUCAUCUGUCCGGAUCUGAUAUAUAUAAGAAAAAAGGUAGCCUCUGAUCUUUGCAUCCUUUGCUAACGUAUAUACCCUACCAUUCCGACUCCAAGGAAUAUGAGACAGACUCACAUCCUCAAAGUCUUCCUGUAGCUUCUAGAAAACUUCGAUCUCUGCCGCGAAUGCUGGCAAUCCAUCGGUUUUUUGUCAUAUCCACUAAGUCCGAACAGUCGUCUCGAACCGUACCGAGGUUAUCCUUCUGUUUCUCAUACAAGAGGAUGUCUAAAGUAAACUUUCCAUUUCAAUAUACAAAGCUGAGAGGCUCCUGUAAUACGUCAUUGGUCUGAAGUAUUCUGAGUCCAUUUGAUCCUUAAGACUCCAUCCUAAACCACUGACGUUGCCAUAACUGAUCCAUGAUGCAUCAAUUUGACAGGUAGGGAUUCAGGCAUCCAAAGAGGCACUGUACUUCUCCUAUUUUUUAUAAACCUGAAAUAUACUAUACAUUUUUUAUUUUUUAUAAUAUAUUAUUUUUUUGUCUCAAUACAUAUAAAUUAAUAAAUUAUUUUUAAACGUAUCACUAGAAUAAAAUUUAAAAUAAUAGGUUUUCUAAAGGUUAAAUUAACAAGAUGAUUAAAAAUAUCUUAUAUUGUAUAAUAGAAAAAAAUAUUUUUCUUAAAACAUUUUUUUCUAUUAAAACAGAAGAAAUCUUAUAUAUUAUAACAAAAGUCAUAACCUUAAUUAAUGUGUGAUUUUUAAAAAAAAAAUGGAUCUAGUGGACAUAUUCCUAAAUACGCAUAUUAUAUUUAAUUUAUAAUCUUAUCAUUUAAAUUUUGGGUAUAUCAGAAAUUUUUAUUGGGCUAUGAAUAAUUAAGAUUUAUGAUUCUAGAUAUUUAAGAUUACCUUGUUAAAACUUUUAGGUUAAACCUAUUAGUUUAAAAAAAAUAUGCUAGAACCAAACUCUUUUCUUUGUUCAAAAAAAAAACUAACUCUUUUUUUUUGCAACUGAAAAAAAACUCUUUUCUUGAUCGAUCAAGUAAAGAGAGACCACUAAAUACUUAACCUUAAUGUCUCGGUUUCUCAGCUAAGUUAUACGUUCGUGGUCUAAACGCCAGGUCUAAUUACCUCUAGAUUAGCAAUCCACCCUAGGACAAAACUAAUUCCUUCGAACACCAUUAUAUAAAAAUACACUAUCAGUUCUCAUGCAUACUUGUUUUCUUUUAGAGGUUUAUUUACAUAUUUGGUUCUUAUUCUAAUGACAUAGACUUAUAUAAUAUUAAUAUAACUAUAGAUCUAACUAUAUAUCGUUUUUUUCUGAGAUUAUCGUCUUUAACUGGUCAUCUAAAAAUAUGUCCAUAAAAUAAAAUAUAUUUUGAACAUUGUAUAUGCCUUCUCCGAAUUUAAAUUCUAGGAAUUACAUGUGUCAAAACAGUGAACUUCAACAAAUCCAAAUCUUACUAACAAUUAA